AAAAUCCGACUAUUGGUAAUAGAGCUCUUGCAGCUGGCCCUGUACAGCGCUAUACAAUGCUAGAUAUGUCAUGCCGUAGAGGGUCAGCUGCAGACCUAUUCAACCCCAAUUUUUCAACUCGAUCAUUGGUUUUGAUCCUAACUGUCUUGGUUGUAUGGUUGCUGUUGUACAUAAUUUCAGAUUUGAUCAUCUGAGUCGGAGAAAAAAUUAUUGGAAGGAGACAAGUAAAUUAUGAGAGAGAUGCAUAUCCUCACCACCAACCAACAUGCCAAGUGAGAUAUGUCUGUGAAGUAGCUUCAUUAGGAUCAAUUCUUCUUCCCCGUAUGUAUAAUCACAGAAGAAAAUAGCAUUAAACUAAUUGUGAUGCUUCUUCUUUGAAGAAGAUGCCUUGAAUUUGCCUGCAAAAAACAAACUACCUAUUAUUAUAUAUGGAUCUGCAAACUGACAUUCUUAAUUAAUGAGUAUGGUCUGUUUCAGACCAGAAACAGAGCUAGCAGCUCAUCUCUGAGUUACAGACUUAACAGUCAACAUCUACGUUGGGACUCCCAAACCACAAACCUACCAUUCCUUGUUACUGCUGCUAACCUUCUGAUUUUGGUUUUUCUACAUCAAUAUUAUAUACUCUGUAGAAAAUAAAAUAGAACGAAUCGAUAGAGAAGCAGGAGCAGGCAGGAAGAAGAAACCAAAGAUAACAACAAAUGCAAAAAAACUUGAAACUAGUAAUAGUAUAAAUGAAGCAUGCAGCGGCAUCUAGCUUUCGGAUUCUCCAAUAAGACAAAAACUUUAUAAAUUGGUGUAUGCAUAUAAAACAUAAUCCAAUGGCAUCUCAAACUUCCUCUCAUUUCCCUUUCCCCUCCACCACCAAACUCAGCACAUACAGCAGAAUGGCUGAAAUGAUUCUGCCACCAAAUGCUGAAUCAACAGCACCAGAUGAUGAUGACUACAUCGACAUGGAAAUCAGCUCAUUCUCAUCAUCCUUCCUCUUCCAUAAUCCCGUCAACUCUAGAGAGUUUGAGUUCCAAAUGUCAUCAUCAUCACCAUCAUCAUCAAACCACACUACUACUUCUCCAGCUGAUGAGCUCUUCUACAAAGGAAAGCUCCUCCCCCUUCACCUCCCACCGCGUUUGCGGAUGUUCGCCAAGCUCCUCGAGAACAGCAACUUACCACCCUCUUCUUCUAUCUAUGGUACCGAGUCCACAAAACAUGUGGUUGAUGUUGAUGAAGAAUUGUACAGCACCCCAUCAGUGACAACUCCAACCGCAGCAAGUACACCUUAUGAGUCCUGCACCAUAUCUCCAGCUGAUUCCUGCCACGUCAGCAGGGAGCUUACCCCGGACGACUUCUUGCAGGAGUAUGCCAAUCCAAAGAGGUCAUGGGGCGCCAAGAAGCUUAAGCUGAUCAAACAGUCUAGGAGUCUAUGUUCAAAGCUUAAAGCUUCUAGAUCUUACCUCAAGGCCUUGUUUGGGAGGUCCGG
rnacentral:lncRNA from 1 species